GCCGCUAGACAGGCCGCUCAGGAGGCACUUCAGCAGAUUGCCCAUGAGGCAGCCAGGCAGGCCGCUCAUGAGGCCGCCCGAGUAGCUGCUCAUGAGGUUGCUCGUCAGAUGGCUGCCGUUCAGCAGUGUCCUCAGGUUCAGGUGCAGCAGGGUCAGCAGAUUCGGGUUCAGCAAGUUCCACUGGUUCAGGUCCAACAGGAUCAGCAGGGUCCAGUUCAGCAGUUUGCUCAUGGUGUUCAGGAUCUACCGCCACCACCACCGCGACCUCAUGUUUACCCGGUUUAUGAUGAGAGGUUCUACAGGCUGACAUGUCAGAUGAGAA
rnacentral:lncRNA from 1 species